UAUUGGACCAUGGGCGCAAGCCUGAUCCAGCCAUGCCGCGUGGGUGAAGAAGGCCUUCGGGUUGUAAAGCCCUUUUGUUGGGAAAGAAAAGCAGUCGGUUAAUACCCGAUUGUUCUUACGGUACCCACAGAAUAAGCACCGGCUAACUUCGUGCCAGCAGCCGCGGUAAUACGAAGGGUGCAAGCGUUACUCGGAAUUACUGGGCGUAAAGCGUGCGUAGGUGGUUGUUUAAGUCCGUUGUGAAAGCCCUGGGCUCAACCUGGGAAUUGCAGUGGAUACUGGGCAACUAGAGUGUGGUAGAGGAUGGCGGAAUUCCCGGUGUAGCAGUGAAAUGCGUAGAGAUCGGGAGGAACAUCCGUGGCGAAGGCGGCCAUCUGGACCAACACUGACACUGAGGCACGAAAGCGUGGGGAGCAAACAG
rnacentral:rRNA from 1 species